UGAUUGCUACUCUGAGUUAUCCAAGGAAUGCCACUUUACUUUAGAUAGUGAUAGGGGGUGGUAGCAGCAUGCGAGAUCUUUUCGUAGCCUAUACUUUUUCUACCAAACUGAAGCUAAAUAUCCAUGCACUCUUUUCCCAGUAUGUGAACUUGAACCUUCUUUCAUCUGGGUAAGUUAAAUCCUUUCUAAAGUGAUGGUUUUUGUCAACUUCUGCAAGAUAAGAUCUCAAAUAGCGAGAAUUUGUUUAAACAUAUGAUUUAGUUGAUCUAUAUGAGAUUUCUUAUGCUAUGUGUAGGGUUGGUAGAUCAAUUUCUCAUCUCUUCUGUGAGGUGACUUCCACGGUGUGAUAUACGAUUUUUCAGUGGUUAGAAUGUGGGGUUAUGGUUUCUCCAUGAGGAUCUUAGGUCUCUCUUUGAAUUAUUUAUCUUUUAUUCAUCAACUAAUGUGAAGGAUGUGGAUGGAAAAAACAUUUUCCUGACUUAAAAAUGGCAUCAACUUGUAUUUUCUUUGCUUGACUAAAUUCUAUCUUCUAUCUAAAUCAAUAGAUGUUUGAGAGUCUUUGAUGAUAUUGUUUUCGUGGUAGUGUUUAUAAGUGCUUUUUAUUGAGGACUCUGUUCUUAUUUAUGGUGGUUUCAUGUGGGCGGUGAUCUAUUAGGAUGUUUUUUUUUGUUUUUGGCUUUGCUUUGUUCUAUUUCCCAUUUUCAUUAUUGCUGAUUUACAUAUGUAUCUGUGAUUUUUUAAUAUUUUGUUUGGUUACUUUAUAUGUUUAGUGGUAUUCACUCGAUACUUUUGUGCUAAUUGACCUUGUGCUAACUGAUAGUACCCUUUUUUGUAUUUGGUGGACCAUUAGUUGCCUUUCUUUUAUUUUAUAAUUUUCCAUUAUAAAAAUUUUAUAUAUAUAUAUAAUAUAUAUAUAUAAUAUAUAUAUAUAUAUAUAUAUAUAUUAUAUAUAUAUAUAUAUAUUGUGGUGUGUGUGUGUGAAUUUAAAUUUAAGAAAUUAUUAAUUUUAAUACAAAAAUGAGGUCAUGAUUACUUUAAGAGGAUGAGGAAACAUUUUUUAUUUCUUCAAUUGCAGAAAAAAAAGACUUAUCUAUCAUGUGUAGUAACUAACAAACCAACAAGUAAAUAAUAUAUCUAAGUUGCAUAAUUUGGUGUUGAAAAUUAUUUUUUGUUAAUAUAAAAAAUUUGAUCAUUAGUAAGAAUAAUUUGAGUAACAUAUUUUUGGAACAUAUAUAAUAGUUGGGGUUUCAAGAAGAAUGAAGAAGAAAAAGAAGAGAAAAAAGAGAGAGAAGAGAGAAAAAAUAUAUUUGAAAAGUUAUUAAGUUUACUAAAACAGUCAUAUGUAAAACUAUACAAUGUCAUGCCUAUUUAUAGACAAUCAGGGUCUAAACCCAAAAUUUACAACCCAAGCUAAAUGAUUUAUUCGACUCCGUCGAAUACAACUGACUCCUAUUACUUGGAUUGACUACUUUGACACAGUCGAAUACUAAUUUUUAUUCAAAACAUCGAAUUACAACUUCUAACACACCGCCUAAUUCAUGUUUUCGAGACUUCUCAUCCCAAUAUUUCUCUUUAACUCAUUGAACCUGAUUGUUUUCAGGGGUUUGAUGAGUAUGCCAGUCAAAUGUGAUUCUAUUAUGCAAUGCUUAAGUUCAGACUUUCCUUUGUUAACUAGAUCCCUCGGAAAAUGAUACUU
rnacentral:lncRNA from 1 species